rnacentral:lncRNA from 1 species
UAUUUGAUAUUUUAAUAUUUUAGUUUUACUAACAAAUUUUUUAAAUAUUUUUAUUCAAGUCAAUCACCGAUAUUUUUAUUUUAAAUUUUAAGCUAAUUAUUUAUUUUAAUUAAUUUAUAGCUGUGAAAAUUAGAUGAACGACAUAUUUAAAUUUUAAAGUGAGAGUGCCGUUAGCAAAUUAGUUCAAAUCAAACAAAAUUAAAAAAAUAACUAACUCAAAAUAGUUCAUAAUUCAAAUAAAGUUUGAACGUUUUCACCUAUGUAUAU